rnacentral:pre_miRNA from 1 species
UUUUAUGGAUGAGCAAAGAAAAUAGUUCCUUGGGAUAGAACCUGCUCCCAGUGAAUAUAAUGUGAA